CGAAUUCUCGUAGCGUGUUCGAGGAUGAUUCAGCAACCUGACUGAACCGCCAGUCUACGAGCAGCAGUGGGAUUGACCAUGGGCAGCUGAUCCGCAUCGCUGGAGGAGAGCUCGGGUGUAAGCUCUCGCAGACGAAACGCGAGCUCUACAUAGCUCGCUAUGACGUACCUGAAGAAGAAGCACCGGCUACUACGUGCCAGCAGCCGCGGUAAUACGUAGGGUGCGAGGCGUUAAUCGGAAUUACUGGGCGUAAAGCGUGCGCAGGCGGAUUGUUAAGCAAGACGUGAAAGCCCCGGGCUUAACCUGGGAACUGCGCUUGUGACUGCAUAACUCGAGUGUGGCAGAGGGGGGUGGAAUUCCACGUGUAGCAGUGAAAUGCGUAGAGAUGUGGAGGAACACCGAUGGCGAAGGCAGCCCCCUGGGUCAACACUGACGCUCAUGCACGAAAGCGUGGGGAGCAAACAGGAUUAGAUACCCUGGUAGUCCACGCCCUAAACGAUGCGAACUAGGUGUUGGGGAAGGAGACUUUCUUAGUACCGCAGCUAACGCGUGAAGUUCGCCGCCUGGGGAGUACGGUCGCAAGAUUAAAACUCAAAGGAAUUGACGGGGACCCGCACAAGCGGUGGAUGAUGUGGAUUAAUUCGAUGCAACGCGAAAAACCUUACCUACCCUUGACAUGUCAGGAAGUCCGCUGAGAGGUGGAUGUGCUCGAAAGAGAACCUGAACACAGGUGCUGCAUGGCUGUCGUCAGCUCGUGUCGUGAGAUGUUGGGUUAAGUCCCGCAACGAGCGCAACCCUUGUCAUUAAUUGCCAUCAUUCAGUUGGGCACUUUAAUGAGACUGCCGGUGACAAACCGGAGGAAGGUGGGGAUGACGUCAAGUCCUCAUGGCCCUUAUGGGUAGGGCUUCACACGUCAUACAAUGGUCGGUACAGAGGGUCGCCAACCCGCGAGGGGGAGCCAAUCCCACAAAGCCGAUCGUAGUCCGGAUCGCAGUCUGCAACUCGACUGCGUGAAGUCGGAAUCGCUAGUAAUCGUGGAUCAGCAUGUCACGGUGAAUACGUUCCCGGGUCUUGUACACACCGCCCGUCACACCAUGGGAGUGGGUUCCACCAGAAGUAGGUAGUCUAACCGCAAGGAGGGCGCUUACCACGGUGGGAUUCAUGACUGGGGUGAAGUCGUAACAAGGUAGCC
rnacentral:rRNA from 1 species